AACAAACAAACAACAACAAACAACCAACAAACAACCAACAAACAAACAACAAACAAACAACAAACAAACAACAAACAAACAAACAAACAACAAACAAACAACAAACAAACAACCAACAAACAACCAACAAACAACCAACAAACAACAAACAACAAACAACAAACAACAAACAACAAACAACAAACAACAAACAACAAACAACAAACAACAAACAACAAACAACAAAC